rnacentral:piRNA from 1 species
UGGCAGCCUUUUGUUACAUGGAGUG